GUGCAUGUGGUGUAAUUGGUAACACGCUUGCAAACAGCACGGGGUUUUUAAAUCAUCUGGUGUUGACCUCGCCUGGCGAGUGAGCCUGAUGGCCCAUCCUGUUGCAAGUGAUCCCAGUUCGAUCCUGGGCAUGCACA